rnacentral:rRNA from 1 species
AAUGGGCGAAAGCCUGAUCCAGCCAUGCCGCGUGAGUGAUGAAGGCCCUAGGGUUGUAAAGCUCUUUCGCCAGGGAAGAUAAUGACGGUAUCUGGUAAAGAAACCCCGGCUAACUCCGUGCCAGCAGCCGCGGUAAUACGGAGGGGGUUAGCGUUGUUCGGAAUUACUGGGCGUAAAGCGCACGUAGGCGGAUUAAUAAGUCAGGGGUGAAAUCCCGAGGCUCAACCUCGGAACUGCCUUUGAUACUGUUAGUCUUGAGUCCGAGAGAGGUGAGUGGAAUUCCGAGUGUAGAGGUGAAAUUCGUAGAUAUUCGGAGGAACACCAGUGGCGAAGGCGGCUCACUGGCUCGAUACUGACGCUGAGGUGCGAAAGCGUGGGGAGCAAACAGGAUU